CACGACAAAUUGAGCGACGCCAUUCACUCAAUUUCCCGCACCCACUUCCUCAACUCUGUCGGAAACCUAAGGAAGUCUGAUAAGAAGAAACUCUACAACGACGUCGUUGAAGAGAACCGGGCUGGCUUUGUCUUCGUCAAGGAGUUUCGUGUUGAUGAUAAUGAAUCCGCGAUUCAAGAGGCCAAGAGUCUCAACGCUAUCAGGACUGCUCUCGAGAACCUUGAGGAUCAGUUGGAGUUCUUCCAUACUGUACAAAUACAACAGCGG
rnacentral:misc_RNA from 1 species